rnacentral:rRNA from 1 species
UACGUAGGGCGCAAGCGUUGUCCGGAAUUAUUGGGCGUAAAGAGCUCGUAGGCGGCUUGUCACGUCGGAUGUGAAAGCCCGAGGCUUAACCUCGGGUCUGCAUUCGAUACGGGCUAGCUAGAGUGUGGUAGGGGAGAUCGGAAUUCCUGGUGUAGCGGUGAAAUGCGCAGAUACCAGGAGGAACACCGGUGGCGAAGGCGGAUCUCUGGGCCAUUACUGACGCUGAGGAGCGAAAGCGUGGGGAGCGAACAGG